CUGCGACCUGAGGAAGUCGUAUACACAGUGUGGCAGACACCACUUCUGAAAUUCACACCCCCUCCCACCCCCGGAUUUAUUCCCCCACCCCGUGCACGCAGGGACGGACACGCCCCCACUCCUGGGCGGCCCCUAAGAGAGGUUCUAUUUCCCACCAGCCUUAGCAAAAGUCAGGACCUGUGCACUUAAGAAAGAGCUUCCCCUACCGGAAAAGGGAUUUCCCAGGAUGUCUCAAGUAGGCAGGCUGUGACUAAGGGAGAGGCCGAUUAGCCUCACUAUGGCAACACGAACAACUUUCUCCCUGUUGGUCUCCCAAGCCUAUGUGGUCAUGGAAAGAGCCCUGGACCUGGAAUUGGAAGAUCUGGAUUCUAGAUGUGUCUUUGCCACUACCUACCUGUGACUUGGGCAAGUACUUAGCUCAUUUUUUGCCUAAAAAUUAAUGCAGUUAUUCAUUCAGUCAAUGGUCAUAAACCAAGAAACUGCUAAAUGCAUGUGGCUCUCAUUUUCCUCAUAUGUAAGUUAAAGGAACAACCUUAGGUCAACCCAAUAUUGAAAUCAUAUAAUUGAUUUAAAAAUGUCACUUUUUUCUUUUUGAGAAUGGAGAUGAAAAUCUAGGUUCUCCGGGGAUGCCUGGAUGGCUCAGUUUGUUGAGCAUCCAACUUCAGCUCAGGUCACGAUCUCAUGGUUUGUGAGAUCAAGCCCCACAUGGGGCUCACUGCUGUCAGCACAGAGCCUGGAGCCUGCUUCAGAUCCUCUGUCCCCACCUCUCUCUCUGCCCCUCCCCUGCUGUGCUUUCUCUCUCCAAAAUAAAUUUUAAAAAUCUUAAAAAAAAUCUAGGUCAUCUGGUAUGAUACAUAAACAUUGCAUAUUUAUCAAAAUAUUAGGCUAUGUAUUUUUAAAAUUUUUAAAAAUGUUUUUAUUUAUUUUUGAGACAGAGACAGACAAAGCAUGAGCAGGGGAGGGGCAGAGCAAGGGGGAGACACAGAAUCCAAAGCAGGCUCCAGGCUCCGAGCUGUCAGCACAGAGCCUGACGUGGGGCUUGAACUCACAGACUGUGAGAUCAUGACCUGAGCCGAAGUCGGAUGCUCAACCGAUUGAGCCACCCAGGCACCCCAAGGCUAUGUAUUUUUAAUUACUAAACUUUAAAAAAAAUUUUUGCACUAUAAAAGUACAUCUAUUUUAAUAAGUAUGCAUUAGAGAAGAUAAAAAGAAAACAAUAAUAUUUGUAUUCUUCCUUGAGUUCUACCUUACUGUGAUAAUUAGUAUUAACAUAAGUAUUCCAUAUU